GGGGAAUAUUGGACAAUGGGCGCAAGCCUGAUCCAGCCAUACCGCGUGAGUGAUGAAGGCCUUAGGGUUGUAAAGCUCUUUCAGUAGGGAAGAUAAUGACGGUACCUACAGAAGAAGCCCCGGCUAACUUCGUGCCAGCAGCCGCGGUAAUACGAAGGGGGCUAGCGUUGUUCGGAUUUACUGGGCGUAAAGCGCACGUAGGCGGAUUGGUCAGUUAGGGGUGAAAUCCCAGAGCUCAACUCUGGAACUGCCUUUAAUACUGCCAGUCUCGAGUCCGGAAGAGGUAAGUGGAACUCCUAGUGUAGAGGUGGAAUUCGUAGAUAUUAGGAAGAACACCAGUGGCGAAGGCGGCUUACUGGUCCGGUACUGACGCUGAGGUGCGAAAGCGUGGGGAGCAAAC
rnacentral:rRNA from 1 species